rnacentral:rRNA from 1 species
CCUACGGGAGGCAGCAGUGGGGAUUAUUGGUCAAUGGGCGCAAGCCUGACCCAGCAACGCCGCGUGAAGGAAGAAGGCUUUCGGGUUGUAAACUUCUUUUCUGAGGGACGAAGAAAGUGACGGUACCUCAGGAAUAAGCCUCGGCUAACUACGUGCCAGCAGCCGCGGUAAUACGUCGGUGGCAAGCGUUAUCCGGAUUUAUGGGGUGUAAAGGGCGAGUAGGCGGGAAAGCAAGUCAGAUGUGAAAACUCAGGGCUCAACCCUGGGCCUGCAUUUGAAACUGUUUUUCUUGAGUGCUGGAGAGGCAAUCGGAAUUCAGGGUGUAGCGGUGAAAUGCGUAGAUAUACGGAGGAACACCAGUGGCGAAGGCAGAUUGCUGGACAGUAACUGACGCUGAGGCGCGAAAGCGUGGGGAGCAAACAGGAUUAGAUACCCGAGUAGUC